CCCGCACUUUUUGGUUUCCCGCCGUACUUCCUGCGGCUGGAGACCGGGCGCGGUGGGGAAUCGGGCUGUCACAUUUGCCAACCCCGAACUGGAAGAAUAUGCAACUGAGAAACACUGAAUCAUGGGUGAAUGAGUUGUCAAUUCCUUCCUUCCCUUUACUUGGAAUACUGAAAAUGCAGGGAGACUGCUCUUGGAAACCAGUGGCAUACAAAGCACUCAGACUGAACCCUGGGAGCAGAUGUUGGAUAGAGUUUGAGGCGCAAGAUGUUUAUUAAGGAUGAACCCUUAUAAAAGGAAGAGUGAAGAGGUAAGAGUGGGCAGUGGAAAAAUCAGAGUGCAACGAAAGCCUGCUAGAGCCUUGACCAUCCCGCUGAGCAGCUCUGGAGCAAAUACUGCUCGCAAGCAUGGCCUGCUUUGGGCUGAAAUGGCCUGUUCCGUUCAGGCAAGACAUGCUGGGUACUCUGGGAAGGAUAUGACUUUGGAAGAGCUGUGGGGGGUCUCAGCAGACAACAGUUUGCCUUCUGCUGGGUUUCGCAAUUCUUUCCCCUCUCUCCCGUUGGGCCACUUGCUCCCCACUUGGAUCCAGUCAUUUCUCUGUGUGUUUCCAGUACUGGAUGGAAUGAAAAUAGUGAGCUCUUAGCUAGGUAGGGACAAGUGUCAGGGACAGGGAACCCAACCACUGUAGGGAAACUGGAGGGCUGGGCACCCACCUGGACAAAAUAUGAGGUGGUAUACCAGGCCUUGACCAGACCGAGCACCAAGGCUGGGAGAACCAGCAGGUAGGCAUCAAUUUGGGGGACUCCCAACAACCUAUUCCUGUCACAGCUAUAUGCCAGAAGUAACGGUAGACUGAAGUGCAAAUUGUUCAAAUGUUAGAGUAGGCAGUUAGGUUCUAACAGGAUACCUGGAGGCCAGCAAAGAGGAAGUCGUGGCUAGGAUUGUGAAUGUCAGAGGCCUGUCCCCACAGAGCCCGAUGCGGGGCUCGAUUUGAGGACCCUGAGAUCAUGACCUGAGCUGAAAUUAACCAACUGAGCCCUGAGACCAGUAUUAUCUUGAAGUUAGUUAGUAAUCAUCCAGAAAAUCAGAAGGGCAGAGUAAAUCUCUGGAGGUAAGAGCUGGUGCUUCAUGAUGUCACUACCCCUCUCCAGCUGAAGCCCCUUGCCCCUCUCCCUGCUAAGGGGUCUGGGUAUAAUUUAUUAAGAAAGCCUCGUUUACAUGGUCUUCCUGUGGGGUGGGGGAGUGGGAUAGGCAAGCAGGACUCCUGGUAUCUCUGGACACGGAGAUGUUAUGAGAAAGCCUCAUAGGAAAGGGCAGAAGUCAUGCCCCCAUCUGCCCUAGUCAGCAUCUGCCGUGUUCUCUGCAAGCUGUGUGGAUCUUCCCCUGCUUGUGUGCUGGAGGGAGAAGACACCAGAUAACCACGCGGACUCCAGGAAUGGGUGAGCGCUCCACCCACAGUCUCUGAGGAGCCGAAGGAAAGGAGCAAGUUCCCUUUCCUUCUUUUGGGUCUGCGUGCUUUUCUCGUCUCCCUGAUCCAUUCUCUCUUUAUCUGUCUCUUUGUAACCCUCAUUCUGUCUCUUUCUCUGUCUUAAUCUCUUGUACAUAGACACACACUUACCUUUUCACCCUGUCCCUAAAAAUAAUAAUAUUGUUCAAACUACCUAGUAGGAUAAUCAGGUUAGACUGGACUUCCAGGUUUUUAAAGAUUUCUUUAAAGUAGGUCUCACUUCAAAUCAUCCCUGAUGACCCAUUUUCCAAGUUUAUCUCCACUUAAGU